GAUGAACGCUGGCGGCGUGCCUAAUACAUGCAAGUCGAGCGAACAGACGAGGAGCUUGCUCCUCUGACGUUAGCGGCGGACGGGUGAGUAACACGUGGAUAACCUACCUAUAAGACUGGGAUAACUUCGGGAAACCGGAGCUAAUACCGGAUAAUAUAUUGAACCGCAGGGUUCAAUAGUGAAAGACGGUUUUGCUGUCACUUAUAGAUGGAUCCGCGCCGCAUUAGCUAGUUGGUAAGGUAACGGCUUACCAAGGCAACGAUGCGUAGCCGACCUGAGAGGGUGAUCGGCCACACUGGAACUGAGACACGGUCCAGACUUCUACGGGAGGCAGCAGUGGGGAAUCUUCCGCAAUGGGCGAAAGCCUGACGGAGCAACGCCGCGUGAGUGAUGAAGGUCUUCGGAUCGUAAAACUCUGUUAUUAGGGAAGAACAAAUGUGUAAGUAACUAUGCACGUCUUGACGGUACCUAAUCAGAAAGCCCCGGCUAACUACGUG
rnacentral:rRNA from 1 species